UGGGGAAUUUUGGACAAUGGGCGCAAGCCUGAUCCAGCCAUGCCGCGUGCGGGAAGAAGGCCUUCGGGUUGUAAACCGCUUUGUCAGGGAAGAAAUCUUCUGAGUUAAUACCUCGGGAGGAUGACGGUACCUGAAGAAUAAGCACCGGCUAACUACGUGCCAGCAGCCGCGGUAAUACUAGGGUGCAAGCGUUAAUCGGAAUUACUGGGCGUAAAGCGUGCGCAAGGCGGUUUUGUAAGACAGAGGUGAAAUCCCCGGGCUCAACCUGGGAACUGCCUUUGUGGCUGCAAGGCUUGAGUGCGGCAGAGGGGGAUGGAAUUCCGCGUGUAGCAGUGAAAUGCGUAGAUAUGCGGAGAACACCGAUGGCGAAGGCAAUCCCCUGGGCCUGCACUGACGCUCGUGCACGAAAACGUGGGGGAGCAAAACAGGNUUAGAUACCCCUGGUAGUCCACGCCCUAAAACGAUGUCAACUGGUUGUUGGG
rnacentral:rRNA from 1 species